rnacentral:rRNA from 1 species
AUUGAACGCUGGCGGCAGGCCUAACACAUGCAAGUCGAGCGCGCGGCGGACGGGUGUGUAAUGUCUGUGAAACUGUCUGAUGUAGGGGGAUAACUACUGUAAACGGUAUCUAAUACCGCAUCCCCUCUGAUGUGUCCAGAUGGGGUUAGCUCGUAGGUGGGGUAACGGCUCACCUAGGCGACGAUCCCUAGCUGGUCUGAGAGGAUGACCAGACACACUGGAACUGAGACACGGUCCAGACUCCUACGGGAGGCAGCAGUGGGGAAUAUUGCACAAUGGGCGCAAGCCUGAUGCAGCCAUGCCGCGUGUAUGAAGAAGGCCUUCGGGUUGUAAAGCACUUUCAGCGGGGAGGCGUUACCCGCAGAAGAAGCACCGGCUAACUCCGUGCCAGCAGCCGCGGUAAUUC